AUCAAGGUUGACAUAAUGCAGUGUUUCCAUGGUCUCUGUCACGUGGAAGAAAAUAUUCAAAAAAGCAAUAUUCAUAAAAGCAUCAGAUAUACAUUUAAAGAAGAAAGUUAAUUUGGAAGUAUCAACAUGGAAUGUCUACAUGUUUAUCUUGGAAUGAUACUAUACUUCGCAAGUGUAUAUAAACGUUGCUUCCAAAUUGAAUGCAAAACUUCAUCACGUCCAGCCAGUGUCAUCGGAAUACGAGAACACAAAAACGAAGAAAUCUUUGUCUUUGAAGAGAUAUCGCCUACUGUCAAACGCUUUUGGCUGCAAACUAUAUUGCGAAAAAUGAAUAUCUUGGAAAUGGUAUAAUUAAUACAGUUUA